CAUCACAGGCAGCCAAUCGCAUAGGCAGUUUCACGGUCUAUUCUUUUUCUCUGAACAACCUUGGUUUCUGUGUCACUCUGCACUUACGUAUGUCUUAUAUGUUCCAGCAGAAGAGUACCGUCACCGAUUGUCAUCUCGAUGAGGAUGUUAUUCCGGAAACCUGAAGACGGAGGAAUACGAGAAGAGACAACUGGAGCUGGCCCCGUGACGUCAGAAUUAUAAGUCCUUGGUGAAAGAUAUUUCGAUAAUAUCACGAAGUGUUGACCUGGUCUUCAUGGUCAUCGAGUCUCAAGGCGAAGAUAUAAGUGCUCGAGACUGACUAUUACGGCAGGAUUAAGUCUCUUUGAUCGCUGCUAACUCAACGCCGUUACUUCUGGGACUUGGUACGUAGCGCCGAUACGAGAGAGAAAUUGAUGACCAGUCUGUGGACUUGACACUGGCCGAACAAACCACGAGGUUCUGCAGACUCACAAAGCCAUGUCAUCGUAACUCACGUUUUGUCAUUGUACCCCAUUCAUCAAAGGGGGAAAAAAAAUAACUUGCAGGCGAGACUCUGAGCUGUCGGUUGGUGUAACGGUGAUGCUCUAAAUUCGCAUUUACACAAAUAACAGAAGCUCACAGGGGCGACAGCUAUGAAUAUGGAAGGUAAUCUGUUGGUACAAACUGCAAACAAACUCCGUGGUUUUAGUCUGUAAGCGAACUAUACCGACAGAGCGA